UCCCUCUUAGCUCAGUGGUAGAGCGUGUCACUCGUAAUGACAAGGUCAGUCGUUCAAUCCGGCUAGCGGGAA
rnacentral:tRNA from 1 species